AAGGAUCAUUACCGAGUUGAUUCGGGCUCCGGCCCGAUCCUCCCACCCUUUGUGUACCUACCUCUGUUGCUUUGGCGGGCCGCGGUUCUCCGCGGCCGCCCCCCUCCCCGGGGGGUGGCCAGCGCCCGCCAGAGGACCAUCAAACUCCAGUCAGUAAACGAUGCAGUCUGAAAAACAUUUAAUAAACUAAAACUUUCAACAACGGAUCUCUUGGUUCUGGCAUCGAUGAAGAACGCAGCGAAAUGCGAUAAGUAAUGUGAAUUGCAGAAUUCAGUGAAUCAUCGAAUCUUUGAACGCACAUUGCGCCCUUUGGUAUUCCGAAGGGCAUGCCUGUUCGAGCGUCAUUACAACCCUCAAGCUCUGCUUGGUAUUGGGCACCGUCCUUUGCGGGCGCGCCUCAAAGACCUCGGCGGUGGCGUCUUGCCUCAAGCGUAGUAGAACAUACAUCUCGCUUCGGAGCGCAGGGCGUCGCCCGCCGGACGAACCUUCUGAACUUUUCUCAAGGUUGACCUCGGAUCAGGUAGGGAUACCCGCUGAACUUAA
rnacentral:rRNA from 1 species